ACAUUCUUUCAACCAAGAAAUAAUCAUUGAAAUUAAUUUAAAGAUUAUAUAUUUUUAUUAUUUCACCAUACAUGUCAUAUGGCUGGCAACUUUUAUAUAACUCUGAAUAUAAUGUAAUACAUUUAAACAACUACAGUUAUUUUUAUGCUAUUUUUAUUAGUCAACUAAUGUAUAUCCCUCAUUGAAACAACAGCAAAUAAAGACAAAUAUCUAUCGAACUACACUGAAAUGGAAUUAUAUUAAGCAUAAUUUUAAAAAGUUAUGGUGAAAUAUUUCACAUAUUCAGAAAGAUAUGUUUAAACAUAUCUGUAACAUUUUGCCCAUUACCUUCAGAUUUUUUAAAAAGCAAAUAUCUAAAAUAGACAUAAUUGAAACUUUUGUUUAUAAAGUCCUUCUUUAUCUGUAGGUCUCUCCUUUCCUUACCAAUGUUAAUUACCAUUCUAAAGAUGGUAUCUACCUUUCUUGUCCAUGUUUACUAAGUAACAUGUGUCUACAAAAGAAAUGUAGUAUCGUUUUGCAUAUGCAUAAGCUUUACACAAGUGGUUUCAUAUUGGAGGUAUCAUUAUGCAACUUGCUUUUUGUCUUCUAGAAUUCUGUUUUUGGAUUUAUUCCUUUUAGUUUAUGUAAUACCUAGGAGAUUUAAUUUACUUUCCAUUGUGCUCCACUGUAUACAUAUAGCAUCACUCCUUUCAUUGUUCUCCCAGGAUCACUUAGAUUCUUUUUUGUUAUUAUUGUCUGUGUGUAUUUAAUAAAUAAUAACAUAGAUCAUCUUGUAUAUGAUAUAUAUGUGCAAAAUUUUCUCUUGUAAAUGUUCGGCAUACACCUAGAUGUGCACUUGUGAAAGAUGAAGUGAAUUUCUUAGAUAAUACAAAACUAAAAACCAGGUUAUUGUAUAUAUUUACACACCCAAUUAAGAUUAUAAAACUACCAGUUUCUUAACACUUAUUUCUUUUAGGAUCUCAACCCUAUACAUUUCCUAGUCUUUUAUUUUGUAUUUUAAGGAAUUUUUAUUCAUCCCAAUGCAUUUAUCUUUCAAUUAUUAUCGUUAUUGUCUCUGCCUGUAUUUCUUUGCUUUUUCUUUGCUUAUUUUCAUUAAGUGAUGAUUCCUGACUGGGAAGCAUUCUUUGUGUCUCUUUUAUCUCCCCCUCUCUGCCAUCUGCUUCCACCCUCUCCUCAGGUCUCCCCUCCCACCUGACUCUCCCUAGUCUGCCAUUCUCUCUAGAUUCAGUCCUGUUUGUCUGUUCUGCAGUUACUUCCAUUUCUACCUUUCAGGGUUGUCAGCCAAGAAUCACAUUUUAUAAUGAAAACAUUGUUAAGUCGACUAUACUUAAAUUAAAAAAUGAAAAUAGAAUAAUCAGAUUUUACAUUUCUCCUCAGAGAUGAUAUCAGAGAAUCCAGUCACCUACUAAAAGAAUUGGCUCAAUUCGCUCAACUCUACCCUUUCUGUCGUCUUGCUCCCGACAUGUGUAGUUUCAUUUAACCUGAGACCCCAGGCAGCUGUUGGAAGAUGCUUUGCUCUCUUUCUUUGUUUUGUCCAGACUCUUUCUAUAGGUGGCAGAAGCUCACUUAGAUCCUGGUUUCAAACACUAAACCUUGCUUUGGUUAUGGUAUACAGCAGGAGGCAUUUCUAGUUCCUUUACCUCAAGGUGAACGAGGACCCAGUAAACACACAGCUUCAAGCUGGCUCGCUAUUUAACAUUUAUGCUUUGUUACACAGAAGUAUUUCCCUGCUUUUGAGUUCAGCUCUAUCUUUUUAAAUUUCUGGUUUUACAUUUACCUACAAUUGCUAAACCUUGGAGUGGGAGGUAAAGAAGGUGCUAUCCUAAGUUCUUAUUAUCUUGAUACCUGCUUUUCAGAUUAUAGGUCAUAAACACCUACUUCAAGAAAACUAAAAUCAUGUUAUUCUUUGGUGACUCUGUAAGACUUGCGUAUGGAUCUACCAUACUUUAUUUAACUAAUUCACUGUAGGUCAGGACUUAUUUUUUCUAUGUUUUUGGUACAAUAAAACACUGCAGUGAAGACUUGUCAAUAUAUAUCUUUGAUGCAUUUGCUCAGUUUUUCUCUUAAAACCCUUGAGGUAGAAUUUGUGGGUUAGAGAUUCAUAGCUUUGACAGUGGAAGAUGAAAUGCAGAAAAAUGUUUCAAAAACAUUAUUUUAUCUUUAAGACCAGAAAAUAAGAUUAAGAAAAAUUCAGUCACAUAACUAAAGCAUUAUAUGGAAUUUGAUCUCAGAGAAGCAUAAAUUGAUGAUAUCACAAUUGAUCAAUUAAUAAGAAGUAGCAAAUAUUUAUUCAGCACUCUAUUAUGUCUUAUAUACAUUAUAAGAAAAUAGUUUUGAAACUUUUGGUUUUCUUAGGACUUUACAUUCUUAAAGAUUAUUCAGGACACCAAGGUGCUGUUUUUAAUGGGGACAAUAUCUAUCAAUAUUCUCAAAAUGAAGGUGGGACGUGAUGACACGGUUGUAGAGGAGAAAAUGUCCUCAACCCUGUCACGAUCCCUGGCUGGGCCCUAAAAAUUAAACUGAUGACAGAUUACCAAGUUGUGAGCCGUGAGAGCCUGCACUAGGAUAUGAAGACACAGGGAAACUGGUAGAUCUGUGUAGUUUUAUGAUGGUUUGGUGAGGAGUGGACAGCUGGGAAGGAACAUGAAAUGAGGUAAGUACUGGGGGGGGGCAUUUUGCAAGGCCCUACUUAUCAGAAUUCUCUUGGUAUUCCUCUGUCUUCAGAGAUAAGGGAGGGCACCUAUCACAUGAGGGUUUUAUGGACUGUUUCAAGGAAGAAGGGCAAAGCAGGGAACAAGUCAUAGUGGGGGAGGACGUCAGAGGGGUGCUCCUGCUUCUGCUGUUUCCUCAGACUCCCUCGGCUUAAAAUAUGCACUAUGCUAAGGUACCAUAUUUUGAGGUAGUGUGUCCCGAGCCACAUCAAGUUCAUUUUUAGUUAAGAUUAAUUUAACAUGCUUAUAUGAGAUCUUGGGGAGGUACAGUGCAGAUCUGAAAGAGAAGAACAAGCAGGAGGUCAGGCUUCUAUCUGCAGAUCUGGUGAAUGCAAGUCCUAAGCGGGAAAGUGAUCAAGCAGACAAGGGUGUGGAGCAGCAGGAACAUAGGGACGAGGUGAAAACGCAAGGAACAAGGCAGUUAAGUAUGGAAGAAGUGCCUGUGGAGGAGCCUGAGGAGGAGGAUCAGAGGGAUGAAAGGGCCCCACUAACGUGGUCAAUGCUCUUCAGUGCUCCCAAGUCAGUAAAGGAUUGGGCAGGGAUUGCCUGCCUUAUCAGAAGAGAAGACAAGAGCAGCCUUGGCGAGAACAAGUUCCAGGAGAGUGCUGGGCAGAAGCCAGAUGAGGAAUUCUACAGGAGACCCUUCAAAUCAUCUAGGAAAAUGGGGACCCUGUCCUGAAGGGUCAUUUGUAUCUCCUCUUGCAAUGCAAUGAAGACCAGGCCGUGUGAGCCAUCUAUGGCCUGUACAGGGCAUGGCCAGGAACUGAAUAGCAGGUACCUGAGACACAACCGGCCAAGUUACAGACUAUGGGAUUUUUCUUUCAGGUAAAGACUUCUGGGAAGGCAUUUGACUAGAAGUGGGCAGAGCACUGGAUCACCACAUGCUGCACAAUGGGAAUAGUUUGGAAUAUAAAAGGAAACAGAGGUCUCAAAAACUCCCGAUGCUGGAUGGGGAGAAUGGUGAUGGAAGACAACUCCACCAGGACGCUUCACCACUUCCGCAGGAUAGAAAUGAUAACCUAUGAAGAGUGUGCUUAAUCUAAGAACAACCAAGGCAUUGGUAUGAGAUGAGAGAUCAGAAGACAAGGGAGAAACUGAAGGCCAGCUUCACACAGGUGAUCUAAACUAGGUGGGUCACAGCUGACUAUUCAGAGAAUAAGUAGUAGGAGACCAAACCUUGUGCUUAGAAAUUCUUUUACCUCAAUCAGAAUAUAGAUUUUAGACCUCAUACAGCUGUGAUUGACUGAUGGUCAGCCUUCAGAUGAGAUCUGGCACCUUCAGGGUGGUAUGGGCGUACACUACGGUCAGCUUCCAGGAGGACAUCCUGAAUAGCUCCCACACCAUCUCCUUCAAGACAGCUGGGGAGUUUGGCGGAUUUAACCACACAUAGAAUGUGGACCUCAUGUGGGCAUAAACACAAGUCCUGAUGCUUAGAGCAAAUAAACUUUGUUUUUUCUUUUUUCCCCUUUCUCUUUUCCUUGCCUUUUCUGUCUUUUUCACCUAUUCAUUCCUUUAUUUAUUUGGCCACCCCUGGGCCAGGGAUGGAACCUGUGCCAUAGUUGUGGACUGCACAGCUGCAGCAACACUGGAUCCUUAACCCACUAUGCCACAAGGGAACUCCCUUACACCUGUUUACUUUUGUAGUGUCUACCCAAAUUUUUGAUCAUUUCUGAGAAUCUUAGCUUCUACUCAGUUAAGCGUAUGAUCAAAUGUGCAGAACAUGGAGACAGCAAGUUGCUAUGAAAUUCAAUGUGGAAGUGACUGCAAAGGUUACCUGCUCCCAGUUCAGGUAGACUGUGAUUUCCUUUCUACCACGGAAUCUGGGGAAUCUCUCCAAGCUAUCACCAGUUGCAUCCUAGGCUACCUCUGGAGUUGAGAAACUCACUUCCUCUAUCUUCUGAAACAAAUGUCCAUAGAACAUUUUUUCAUCACAUUGCACAAAAUUCUGACUUUUUCAUUUUUUUAAAGAACUCUGCCCUAGUACAAUAGCAUAUGAAUGAGAGAGCCUCUCAUUCUUUACCACAAUUGCAUAAAUUGAAAGGGGAUGAAUACAUUAAAUACUUAGUCCACUUAAAAAAUAAGUUACGCAAGAUUGCAGAUGGAUUUUUUUUAACCCCUUUAAGUAUAUGGAGGAUGUAAUGACUUAGACUAGGUGGUUUGGUACCAUUACCUUCAUUCAAGCUCAGGAACCAACCCGUUUUACCCACCAUUGCCUUUUGCCAUCAGCGCAAAGCCAACACAGUCAAAAAGACAAAUAACAUCUUGGCAUUAUUAUGAAAAUAUCUUUGACCUCACAGACACUUGAAAUGUCUCAGGAAUUCCCAGGAAUCUGUGAACUACACUUUGAAAAUAACACUUGUAUGAAAAGGAUCAUUUAAAAUGAAAUAAUUAGGGAAAAUAACAGCUUUUAUAUUUCAAAUAUGUCAAAGGUAACUUGAGGCAUCAUACCAUUCUUCUUAAGGACCAAUUUACACUAAGUCCUCUAGGUAAAUGUCUUUCUUACACACUGAAAGUUUUAUGCUUCUUCAGAAAUGUUCAUAAGACAUUCUGUAUUGGAUCACUAAUAAAUGCCUGUCAUUUUUUGAUGCAGGCUUAUGUUUAGUUCAACUCAAUGUAUGCAUACUCCUUUGUCUACUUUUACUGAAGAUGUCGAUUCUGUGUUUGGAAUAAUUGUACCCUGCACCUCAGCUAAUAGGAAACAUAAUUCUGCCUUGAUGCAUGACAACUUAGUAAUGUGGUUUUUUUUUGAAAGUUGCACUCAGCUAACACUUAAUAUAUGGCACCAAUUAUUUCAGAUAUGUUGAGUAAGAUUUCUCCAGUGUUUGCAUAAUAAUUAAGCAACUUCUGAAAAUGAUGUUUAUGUUUUGAGUUAAAAUUUUAAUAGAGCUUUCACAGCUGUCUAAUUUAGUAUUGGUUACUGGGAGAAUCUGACCCGGUUUAUUACAGAAUUGGUAGAAGGGAUUUAUGAGUAACACCAUGAUGUGAGAAUGGAGCAUUGGUGUUAUAAGAAGAAAUAAUAGAGCUAUAAUACAGGUAUUUCACCUAUGUUCAAACAAAAUAACCAAUAAAUAUUAGAUGUUUUGGAUUCUCCACCAUUCUCCCUAAAUCCCACAUAAAUCCAUGCACAAUAGAAAAAAAUCCAAGAACUCACAAAUACCAUCCCUCUCUAUGGCUUUCCUUACUGGUUUUCUAAUAUUUCGAGUCAAUUUCACCUCUCUUCUAUUUCAACAACUAUACCAGUUAGGUCAUUUUGGUUGAAAAUGCUGAAAAUAUCAGAAACUUAUCUUGUUUUGUUUAUUUAUUUAUUUAGUCUUUUUUUUUUUUUUUGGCCAUACUUGUGGCAUAUGGAGGCUCCCAGGCUAGAGGUCUAAUCAGAGCUGUGGCACAGCCACAGCAAUGCAGGAUCCAAGCCACAUCUGUGACCUACACCACAGCUCAUGGCAAUGCCAGAUCCUUACACUGAGUGAGGCCAGGACUCAAAUCUGCAUCCUCAUGGAUGCUAGUCAGAUUUGUUUCUCCUGAGCCAUGACAGGAACUCCUUACCUUAUUUUAUUUAACCUUAAAUAAUUGAUGGCAUUGGGAAAACUGUACAACAAUGUACAAAAGAGUCAAACUGGACAACUUUCUCACACCGUAUGCAAAGAUAAACUCAAAAUGGAUUAAAGACUUAAAUGUAAGACCGGAAACUGUAAAAAUCCUAGAAGAAAACAUAAGCAGGCUGCUCUUUGACAUUGGUCUUAGAAAAAAUUUUUGGAUAUGUCUCCACAGGCAAGGCAAGGGAGACAAAAGUAAAAAUAAACAAAUGGGACCUAAAUUAAACUAAAAAGGUUUUGCACAAUUAAAGAAAGUAUCAACAAAGUUAAAAAAUCCACCACUGAAUGAGAAGAGAGAUUUGCAAGCAAAAUAUCUGAUAAGGGGUUAAUAUCCA
rnacentral:lncRNA from 1 species